GUGAGGAAUAUUGCGCAAUGGAGGCAACUCUGACGCAGCCAUGCCGCGUGCAGGAAGAAGGCGCUACGCGUUGUAAACUGCUUUUAACCGGGAAGAAACCCCAGGACGUGUCCUGGGUUGACGGUACCGGAGGAAUAAGCACCGGCUAACUUCGUGCCAGCAGCCGCGGUAAUACGAAGGGUGCAAGCGUUAUCCGGAUUCAUUGGGUUUAAAGGGUGCGUAGGCGGAGCGUUAAGUCAGUGGUGAAAUCCUGCAGCUUAACUGUAGACUUGCCAUUGAUACUGGCGCUCUUGAGUGCGCUUGAAGUGGGCGGAAUGUGCCGUGUAGCGGUGAAAUGCUUAGAUAUGGCACAGAACACCAAUUGCGAAGGCAGCUCACUAAGACGAUACUGACGCUGAGGCACGAAAGCGUGGGGAUCGAACAGGAUUAGAUACCCCGGUAGUCC
rnacentral:rRNA from 1 species